rnacentral:misc_RNA from 1 species
UCCGGUUUGUCACCGGCAGUCUCCCUAGAGUUCCCGCCAUUACGCGCUGGCAACUAGGGACAAGGGUUGCGCUCAUUGCGGGACUUAACCCAACAUCUCACGACACGAGCUGACGACAGCCAUGCACCACCUGUGAUGGUGUCCCGAAGGAAGAGUGUGUUUCCACACCUGUCACCAACAUGUCAAACCCAGGUAAGGUUCUUCGCGUUGCGUCGAAUUAAACCACAUGCUCCGCUGCUUGUGCGGGCCCCCGUCAAUUCCUUUGAGUUUCAUUCUUGCGAACGUACUCCCCAGGUGGGUUACUUAUCACUUUCGCUUAACCACUCAGUCUUGCGACCGAACAGCUAGUAACCAUCGUUUACGGCGUGGACUAC